rnacentral:rRNA from 1 species
CCUACGGGGGGCAGCAGUGGGGAAUAUUGGACAAUGGGGGCAACCCUGAUCCAGCCAUGCCGCGUGUGUGAAGAAGGCCCUCGGGUUGUAAAGCACUUUCAGUGAGGAAGAACGCCUGGUGGUUAAUACCCAUCAGGAAAGACAUCACUCACAGAAGAAGCACCGGCUAACUCCGUGCCAGCAGCCGCGGUAAUACGGAGGGUGCGAGCGUUAAUCGGAAUUACUGGGCGUAAAGCGCGCGUAGGUGGCUUGAUAAGCCGGUUGUGAAAGCCCCUGGCUCAACCUGGGAACGGCAUCCGGAACUGUCAAGCUAGAGUGCAGGAGAGGAAGGUAGAAUUCCCGGUGUAGCGGUGAAAUGCGUAGAGAUCGGGAGGAAUACCAGUGGCGAAGGCGGCCUUCUGGACUGACACUGACACUGAGGUGCGAAAGCGUGGGUAGCAAACAGGAUUAGAUACCCUUGUAGUC